CGGAGGGGGCUAGCGUUGUUCGGAAUUACUGGGGCGUAAAAGCGCACGUAGGCGGACCAGCAAGUUAGGGGGUGAAAUCCCGGGGGCUCAACCCCGGAACUGCCCCUUAAAACUGCUGAUCUGGAGUUCGAGAGAGGUGAGUGGAAUUCCGAGUGUAGAGGUGAAAUUCGUAGAUAUUCGGAGGAACACCAGUGGCGAAGGCGGCUCACUGGCUCGAUACUGACGCUGAGGUGCGAAAGCGUGGGGAGCAAACAGGAUU
rnacentral:rRNA from 1 species